UUGAAUUUCAAUCUCAAGUUCUGAAUUUUAAGGUCAGGAUGGAGCUUGGUUCUUUUUGAAAUCGACAUUAUCUCUGCUCAGAGAAACAAAGGAACAAUCUAGUACUGUCACAAUAUUACUAGGAAUAAUCUUGAUGAGAAGGACUUUUUUUAAAGUCCAGUUACUAUAACACAAGCUUAAGGAUGAGGAAACCCAGACAGGAAUACUGAGUGGGUGUGAUCUAUAUUGAGCCAUGAGGUUACUGGCAGGGAGUUGUUGACUGCAGUAGAACUGGUCCGAGGUUGGCCAAGAUGCAACAGGUCGUUACACAGCAGCCUUCAGAGAAUUACCAGGUAUCCACAAGACACCUCAGGAGAUCUCCACAUUCCCAGUGGAAGAUCAUCGCUCAUGUCUUAACUCAGGUUCUGAAGUCACAACAAAGAAAAAUUUUGAAUGGGACACGCUGAUUUAAAUAA